rnacentral:rRNA from 1 species
UUAAGCCAUGCAUGUGUAAGUGCAAGCCGAACUAAGGCGAAACCGCGAAAGGCUCAUUACAUCAGUUGUGGUUCCUUGGACUGUACCCAGUUACUUGGAUAACUGCGGAAAAUCUGGAGCUAAUACAUGCCGACAGAGUCCCGACCAGAGAUGGGAGGGACGCUUUUAUUAGAUCAAAACCAAAAAUUCCCCUCGGGGAAAAAGGUUUAAGGUGACUCUGAAUAACUUUGUGCUGAUCGCACGGCCCUCGCGCCGGCGACGCGUCUUUCAAAUGUCUGCCUUAUCAACUUUCGAUGGUAGGCUCUGCGCCUACCAUGGUUGUAACGGGUGACGGGGAAUCAGGGUUCGAUUCCGGAGAGGGAGCCUGAGAAACGGCUACCACAUCCAAGGAAGGCAGCAGGCGCGCAAAUUACCCACUCCCGGCUCGGGGAGGUAGUGACGAAAGAUAACGAUGCAGGACUCAUUUGAGGCCCUGUAAUCGGAAUGACUACAUUUUAAAUCUCUUAAGGAGUAUCAAUUGGAGGGCAAGUCUGGUGCCAGCAGCCGCGGUAAUUCCAGCUCCAAUAGCGUAUAUUAAAGCUGUUGCGGUUAAAAAGCUCGUAGUUGGAUCUGUGCUCCGCACCGCCGGUCCACACUCUGUGCUGCGACUGGCAGGUUUGUGGAGCGUCCUGCCGGUGGGGGGUCUUGCCGGCGGCGGUCCUCCGUCCCGUUGGUUGCCUGGGUGUGUCGGGUUCAGUCGGCCGCUUCUCUGAAGCGGUACUACGCCGGCCCCCAGCUCCUCGGGCGAGCCGCCGAUGCGUGCGCCCCCGGUUAUCCGAUCCUGCCGAAGGUGCUCUUUACCGGGUGUCGAGGCGGGCCGGCAUGUUUACUUUGAACAAAUUAGAGUGCUUAAAGCAGGCUGGUGACGCCUGAAUGCUGUGUGCAUGGAAUAAUGGAAUAGGACCUCGGUUCUAUUUUCUUUUGGUUUUCUGAACCAGAGGUAAUGAUUAACGGAGACAGGCGGGGGCAUUCGUAUUGCGACGUUAGAGGUGAAAUUCUUGGAUCGUCGCAAGACGAACAGAAGCGAAAGCAUUUGCCAAGGAUGUUCUCGUUGAUCAAGAACGAAAGUCAGAGGUUCGAAGGCGAUCAGAUACCGCCCUAAUUCUGACCGUAAACGCUGCCAUCUGGUUAUUCGCCCACGUUACAUCAUUUAUGACUGGGCGAGCAACCCUCGGGAAACCAAAGAUUUUGGGUUCCGGGGGAAGUAUGGUUGCAAAGCUGAAACUUAAAGGAAUUGACGGAAGGGCACCACCAGGAGUGGAGCCUGCGGCUUAAUUUGACUCAACACGGGAAACCUCACCAGGCCCGGACACUGGAAGGAUUGACAGAUUGAUAGCUCUUUCUUGAUUCAGUGGGUGGUGGUGCAUGGCCGUUCUUAGUUGGUGGAGCGAUUUGUCUGGUUAAUUCCGAUAACGAACGAGACUCUAGCCUGCUAACUAGUCGAUGAUUUCAAUCCGGCAUCCUCUUACGGCUGCCGGCGAAAACAACUCUUCUUAGAGGGACAGGCGGCUCCUAGCCGCACGAGAUUGAGCAAUAACAGGUCUGUGAUGCCCUUAGAUGUUCUGGGCCGCACGCGCGCUACAAUGAAGGUAUCAACGUGUCUCCCUUGGCCGAGAGGCCUGGGUAACCCGCUGAAACACCUUCGUGCUUGGGACUGCGGUUUGAAAUUCUCCCGCACUAACGAGGAAUUCCCAGUAAAGGCGUGUCACUAGCACGCCUUGAUUACGUCCCUGCCCUUUGUACACACCGCCCGUCGCUACUACCGAUUGAAUGAAUUAGUGAGGUCUUCGGACCAGCGCGCGGUUCUCGUCCCUCGGGACUCCCGUCGCUGCAGGGAAGAUGAUCGAACUUGUUCAUUUAGAGGAAGUAAAAGUCGUAACAAGGUUUCCGUAGGUGAACCU